GGGUCAGUAGGUUGGUCGUGCCACCGGUACGUACUGGUCUCACUGAUUCCUCCUUCCUGAAGAACCGUAAUGCCAUUAAUUUGGUGUUGCGGGGAAACAGGACUGUUACUUUGAACAAAUUAUAGUGUUUAAAGCAAGCUAACGCUUGAAUACAUUAGCAUGGAAUAAUGAAAUAGGACGAUCGAUCCUAUUUUGUUGGUUUCUAGGAUUGACGUA
rnacentral:rRNA from 1 species